CACCGAGUCCGAGGUUCCGGGGCUCACCGGAACCUGGUGCAAAAGGGA
rfam:Streptomyces sviceus ATCC 29083 chromosome, whole genome shotgun sequence.